AUUGAACGCUGGCGGCAUGCUUUACACAUGCAAGUCGAACGGUAACAGGCCGCAGGGUGCUGACGAGUGGCGAACGGGUGAGUAAUGCAUCGGAACGUGACCAGUCGGGGGGGAUAACGCAGCGAAAGCUGCGCUAAUACCGCAUACGAUCUAUGGAUGAAAGCGGGGGACCCGAAGGCCUCGCGCGAUUGGAGCGGCCGAUGUCAGAUUAGGUAGUUGGUGGGGUAAAGGCUCACCAAGCCGACGAUCUGUAGCUGGUCUGGGAGGACGACCAGCCACACUGGGACUGAGACACGGCCCAGACUCCUACGGGAGGCAGCAGUGGGGAAUUUUGGACAAUGGGCGCAAGCCUGAUCCAGCAAUGCCGCGUGCAGGAAGAAGGCCUUCGGGUUGUAAACUGCUUUUGUACGGAACGAAACGGUCCUGGUUAAUACCCGGGGCUAAUGACGGUACCGUAAGAAUAAGCACCGGCUAACUACGUGCCAGCCGCCGCAGUAAAAC
rnacentral:rRNA from 1 species